CAGGCUCCCCGUGGACCUGCUGCUGCUGCUACUACUACGGACAUUUUGGCGGGAAGAGAAAAUUAUUUAAAAACGAAAUAAAUAAAAGAACGUCUUCCCUGUGACAGGCCCUUCGGACAAACGUCUUUUUGACUUUGUGUGUGCUCGGGGGCGGGGUUGCCGCUCAGAACCGGCUCUUUCCUCUGGGAUAAAAGGCUUUUGCUCUGUCAGAUCUGAGCCAACAAAUGAGGGGGAGUUUCCAUCUGGCCUUUGUGGGCAGAGACUAGAGCGAUGUUUGCACUUGGGUGAGCGCGGCUGGCCCCGGGCCAUUGUUAGGAGUCUUCAGUGCAGGGUGUCAGCCAGGAUGGAUCUGCGCUGCAUCCCUCUGUCCAGGGCCCGCCCCAGGAGCGCCCAGGGUGUGUGCAUCUGCAGACAGACAGGACACCGGGACCCCCAGAGAGAGUCUCCCAAGGUACCUCUUGGCCCAGUGUUCCUGGCCAGAGAAAGACUUGGCAACUGGAGGACGUGGGCCAACCCCUGACCAGAUGGGGACAGGAAGGCUGAAUAACUUGCCUGAAGUCGUGGUGGGUUGGUGGCAGUUCCAGGCUAGAAAGCAGAUCUGAGAAAAUAACCCAACCCUUCACCACCCUGAAACGCCUUUUCUGCUGCCUGCGGUGUGGAGGAUGUAGUCCAGGGCAUACAGAGGGAAGGCCAUGUGAACCCACAGUGAGAAGGUGGUCAUCUGCAAGCCAGAAAGAGAGCCGUCGCCAGUCACUGAAUCUGCUGGCACCUUGAUCUUGGACUUCCCAGCCUCCAGAACUGUGAGAAAUUGUUGUUUUAGCCACCCAGUCUAUGGUAUUUUCUUACAGCAGCCUGUGCUAACUAAGACACUGGUGUUUUGUGUUUCAUAGUGCUCGAGAGCCUCGCCUCUCUUUUCCCCUGUGGCUGUGCCUGGGAAUUAGUCAGGCAUUUCUACCUGGCGGGGUCCUGUGAUAGAAACCAGUCCAUCCUGCCCCCACCCCUCACCAUGUAUAAGAUGUCUAUUGGAUAAUAGCUUCUUUUGUUUGCCUAAGAGCGGAAUUUCUCACAAGAAAGAGAGAAGCAGCCAGGGAUAUUCCACAAGGGUACAAAUUAGGGCCAACUGAGAGCUUUUGGGAGCAAAGAACUGCCAGUUA
rnacentral:lncRNA from 1 species